ACAUCCCCUUGCCCAGCCCCGACUCACUUCCGCUCUCGCCUCUCUCCUCGUCGGCUCUGUUGCGCAGUCUCCACCCCCUCAUCACUGCACCCAAUGCCCACCCUCGCGUCGCUCUACCAAAAUGUUCGUCCGCGUGUCGAGAGAGCGGAAUGGCGGGUGACGGGUCUCGUCUAUGCCAUCCUGCAGUUCAUCGCGUUCUUCUUCGUGCUGGUCGCUACGCCGAUCGACAUGUUUCGCAGCCGAAAGGAUUUUCCGGUACGAGAACCCAAUCUGUGUUACACGUUAUGGGGCUUUAAAUAUGACUGCCGCAACACGAGCUACUCACUUACAUAUGAGUCGAUGAUGAAGGGUUGUCCUAACCGCCUCCGCCUCUUCCGCCUUGCACAGGCAUUCGCUGUCAUCUCCAUAUUCGUGUACGGCACGGCGUUCGUCUUGGGCCUCAUUGCGCUGUGCUGCUGCGCCUGCCUCCGCUGGGUCUGCCUGGCGCUCAACGUUGCCGGCGUCGCCACCCUGUGCAUCGUCUGGGCGUCCAUGGUGGUGAUCUACUACAAGGAUGAGGGCUUCGCUUGCUCACCUUUCCGAGACUUCUUCAGUUACGGUGCCGGCUUCGCUCUCUUGGUGGUGGCCUGGUGCCUGGAUAUCAUCAACGUCGGCCUCUUGCUGCUCCCCUUCGAGGCUACCCUCUCUCUUGGCAGUGCAAAGGAGGAGUCCUCCACACGGUCCGGAGAGGAGGCUGUGAAGUGAAGUGAAGGAAGCGGCGGGCGAGCCUGACAGCAGCGCGGCACACACACCGUGACGCCCUCGUGGAGGAGCCGGCGGAGCUGAUCGCAGCGAGAGAGAGGGAGCGGAUGCCGCUGACCCUCGCCGGCCCACCUCUCUCGCUGCCUUCUCGUGCGUGCGUGUGCGCUUCCUCUGGGGUCGUUCUCCCCUCCCUCCAAAUGCCGGUGCCGUGCACGGCGACCUGCGCUGUGUGGUGAGCAACGCGCGCCUGGCGCCGACAAGCCCAUCCAUGCCCCGUCCCCCCUCUGAGCCCCUCGCCUUGGCUGCCGUGUCGGAGCCACGCCCCCCCCACUCACGCUCGCCCGGCGCACCGCCGCCGAGGCGGGGGAGCGAAGGAAGACGCGGGACGCCGGCGCGUGCGCUGCCGCUCCCCCUCCCCUCACGCACGCCUCACGCGCUACCUGAGCGGCGAAGGGCGAGGAUGGGGAGGGGGAGUGGAGGGCGAGGUGCCACAGGAGAGGGAGUGGCGGGGAGGUGUGGGAAUGAGGCGGGCUGGUGGGCAGGCGCGUCGGGGCAGGGAGAGGACGGCGUCUGUGCGCACGCGCACCCACGCGCGCCGGUGCACAAGAGGGCACCUCCCACACGGCGUGUGCAUGCGCGCAGGCACAUGCGCCCCCGUCACCCUCCUCCUCCUUUCUCCGUGGAUCCCCCGCCACCUCGCCCUUCUUCUGUCGCUGCCACUCCCCCACGCCCCUGGCGGCACACCCGCGACGGGAAGAGGCACCACAGCGGCACGAAGACGCAGGCCGAGCACGGUCCCCCCCCUCCUACACACACGCGCACGCGCACGCGUAUGCUGCCGGUGUUUCCGUUUCUGUUUUCGUGCUUUCGCUUGAUUUGACGCUCGCAUGUUUCCUUCGAUUUCUCUCGUUUUCGUCUCUCUCCCUAUGCAG
rnacentral:misc_RNA from 1 species